rnacentral:rRNA from 1 species
GUCUAUGGCCAUGCCACCCUGAAUGUGCCUGAUCUCGUCUGAUCUCAGAAGCUAAGCAGGGUUAGGUCUAGUUACUUGGAUGGGAGACAAUCUAGGAAUACCUGAUGCUGUAGGCA